rnacentral:rRNA from 1 species
GACGGAGGAUGCAAGCGUUAUCCGGAAUUAUUGGGCGUAAAGCGUCCGCAGGUGGCUAGUCAAGUCUGCUGUCAAAGCGCGGAGCUUAACUUCGUAAAGGCAGUGGAAACUGAUUAGCUAGAGCAUGGUAGGGGUAGAGGGAAUUCCCGGCGUAGCGGUGAAAUGCGUAGAGAUCGGGAAGAACACCAGUGGCGAAAGCGCUCUACUGGGCCAUGACUGACACUGAGGGACGAAAGCUAGGGGAGCGAAAGGG